ACAAGCCCAUUGUGGGCAGUCCAUACCGGACAGGUCCCGUGCGCGAGAAGGACAGUGACGGCUGUCUGAGAAGAUUGCGUGGCGGAUGGCCGACAGGCAGUGGCGAGGCCACACACGCGGGCGACCGGCGACGGCGGAGGUGCCGGGGGAUAACGACAGGUGGAAUGAACGGGACGGGACGAGUCUGUUGUGGACGAGGCCGGCCUGAUGAACAGCAAGUGAAUGGCGGGGAUAAGAACCGUCAGAAGCGAGGA
rnacentral:misc_RNA from 1 species